UACGUAGGGUCCGAGCGUUGUCCGGAAUUAUUGGGCGUAAAGGGCUCGUAGGCGGUUUGUCGCGUCGGGAGUGAAAUCCACUGGCUUAACUGGUGGCUUGCUUUCGAUACGGGCAGACUGGAGGUAUGCAGGGGAGAACGGAAUUCCUGGUGUAGCAGUGAAAUGCGCAGAUAUCAGGAGGAACACCGGUGGCGAAGGCGGUUCUCUGGGCAUGACCUGACGCUGAGGAGCGAAAGUGUGGGGAGCGAACAGG
rnacentral:rRNA from 1 species